GACGAACGCUGGCGGCGUGCUUAACACAUGCAAGUCGAAUGGAAAGGCCCUGCUUGCAGGGUACUCGAGUGGCGAACGGGUGAGUAACACGUGGGUGAUCUGCCCUGCACUUCGGGAUAAGCUUGGGAAACUGGGUCUAAUACCGGAUAGGAGCCAUCUUUAGUGUGGUGGUUGGAAAGUUUUUUCGGUGUAGGAUGAGCUCGCGGCCUAUCAGCUUGUUGGUGGGGUAAUGGCCUACCAAGGCGGCGACGGGUAGCCGGCCUGAGAGGGUGUACGGCCACAUUGGGACUGAGAUACGGCCCAGACUCCUACGGGAGGCAGCAGUGGGGAAUAUUGCACAAUGGGCGCAAGCCUGAUGCAGCGACGCCGCGUGGGGGAUGAAGGCCUUCGGGUUGUAAACUCCUUUCGCUAGGGACGAAGCUUUGUGUGACGGUACCUAGAUAAGAAGCACCGGCUAACUACGUG
rnacentral:rRNA from 1 species